rnacentral:sRNA from 1 species
UGAAUGCAAAGUAUUUGCAGCAGCAUCCUUUUGUUGUCAGUUCGAGUUUGCGAAGCAAGUAUCGAGAACCAACAAAAGAUAUAGCGUAAAGCCCGACCCUUG